UACGUAGGGCGCAAGCGUUGUCCGGAAUCACUGGGCGUAAAGCGCACGUAGGCGGAUUGCUAAGUCAGGGGUGAAAUCCUGGAGCUCAACUCCAGAACUGCCUUUGAUACUGGCGAUCUUGAGUCCGGGAGAGGUGAGUGGAACUGCGAGUGUAGAGGUGAAAUUCGUAGAUAUUCGCAAGAACACCAGUGGCGAAGGCGGCUCACUGGCCCGGUACUGACGCUGAGGUGCGAAAGCGUGGGGAGCAAACAGG
rnacentral:rRNA from 1 species